AAAAUAAUUUAAAGCCUUCCAACUUUGAUCCCAAAAAUCAUAAUUUUCUAGUAUUCCUACUAAGUUCGAGACCCUCUUCAACGUGGUAUAAUUAUUUUAGCAAGAAAAUCACUUUGGUGGCAAGUGAAGAAUUUGAAGAAAAAGAUAUUGGAGAGCCCGAGACUUGAGUCGGGAUUUGUCUAGCGAGCGAUCGAGGUACAGACACUUAUUAUGGUGAUCCGCCAGUCUAGGGUGCCGUUCUGCUACUUGGAGUGCUCCUUUGAUCUGGAGCCCACACUUUUGUUACAGAUCUUUCGGUUGUACAUAUUUAUGUGUAUGGGACUAUUCAG